rnacentral:rRNA from 1 species
GACGAACGCUGGCGGCGUGCUUAACACAUGCAAGUCGAACGAUGAAGCGGGUGCUUGCACUCGUGGAUUAGUGGCGAACGGGCGAGUAACACGUGAGUAACCUGUCCUUUUCUUUGGGAUAACGGCUGGAAACGGCUGCUAAUACUGGAUAUUCAGGCUGCAUCGCAUGGUGUGGUUUGGAAAGGUUUUUUCUGGGAUUGGGUGGGCUCGCGGCCUAUCAGCUUGUUGGUGGGGUAAUGGCUUACCAAGGCUUUGACGGGUAGCCGGCCUGAGAGGGUGGUCGGUCGCACUGGGACUGAGAUACGGCCCAGACUCCUACGGGAGGCAGCAGUGGGGAAUAUUGCACAAUGGACGAAAGUUUGAUGCAGCGACGCCGCGUGGAGGGUGUAGGCCUUCGGGUUGUGAACUCCUUUUUCUCGCGAAAAAGGCACAGUUUUGGCUGUGUUGAUGGUAGUGGGGGAAGAAGCGCCGGCUAACUACGUG